rnacentral:misc_RNA from 1 species
CAAAAUUCUAAAUAAAGAACCCAAUACGAAGUCUAUUUCUCCAACAGACUAUUUUGAGUUCAAUUCCAAAUUCACUGAUAAAAUGAGAAGGAUCAAGAUACCUCUCCCUCCAGUUGAUGAGAAAAGGAAGGUAAUUGAAGAUGUGGACAAAGAUCGGAGAUAUGCUAUAGAUGCCUCAAUAGUACGCAUUAUGAAGAGUCGUAAAGUUUUGGGACAUCAACAAUUGGUUAUGGAAUGUGUUGAGCAGCUUGGCCGCAUGUUCAAGCCUGACUUCAAG